rnacentral:miRNA from 1 species
AAAAACAGACACAACCU